GACAUUCGUUUUAUCACUCCCUGUCUCUGUUCUUGGCGUUCGUGGUUUCUCCCAUUCUUCUUCUCGGAAGCAUCAGAAAAACGCUUCUUAGACAAAUUCAUCGAGCCUCAUAAGAACCGCAUUCCUGGAUUGUUGAAGUUGUAUACAGAGAAAUUAGAGGUUUCUUCAAAAUAGAAUGCUCAUUCUCUUUUAAAUGUUAAUUUUUGCUUGGGUUCUUUUAGUUCAUAUGCUUAUUGACUACUAAAAUUUAUUUAAGUUGAUGAAUUUUGAUUUGUACUGUUUACAUUGUUAGCUAGAUGAUGAUAUGAGCUGAUUUGACUCCACGAACGAACGACUUUUGCAUUCAAACCAGUCGUUUUGAUGUCUUAGGUUUAGAUCUACAUUGCGUUUAGUUACAGAAAUGAAUACCAAAAAUGGGAAUGUCCUUGUCCCUCA